AUUGAACGCUGGCGGCAGGCUUAACACAUGCAAGUCGAGCGAGCGGCGGACGGGUGAGUUAUGUCUGGGAAACUGCCUGAUGGAGGACGAUAACUACCGGACACUGUUGCUAAUUCCGCCUACCAUCGGCUGUGCCCAGAUGGCAUUAGCUAGGAGGUGGGGUAAUGGCUCACCUGGGCGACGAUCCCUAGCUGGUCUGAGAGGAUGACCAGCCACACGGGAACUGAGACACGGUCCAGACUCCUACGGGAGGCAGCAGUGGGGAAUAUUGCACAAUGGGCGCAAGCCUGAUGCAGCCAGUCCGCGUGUGUGAAGAAGGCCUUCGGUUUGUAAAGCACUUGCAGCGGGGAGGCGUUACUCGCAGAAUAAGCACCGGCUAACUCCGUGCCAGCAGCCGCGGUAAUUC
rnacentral:rRNA from 1 species